UACGUAGGGGGCUAGCGUUGUCCGGAAUCAUUGGGCGUAAAGCGCGCGUAGGCGGCCCGGUAAGUCCGCUGUGAAAGUCCAGGGCUCAACCCUCGGAUGCCGGUGGAUACUGUCGGGCUUGAGUACGGAAGAGGCGAGUGGAAUUCCUGGUGUAGCGGUGAAAUGCGCAGAUAUCAGGAGGAACACCAAUUGCGAAGGCAGCUCGCUGGGACGUUACUGACGCUGAGACGCGAAAGCGUGGGGAGCGAACAGG
rnacentral:rRNA from 1 species